rnacentral:lncRNA from 1 species
UUUUGGAGCUAACUAAGCUAAUUGUGUCAUUUAGGUGGAAGCCAAGCUAACUAUAGGUCAUUCUAGAGCUAACUUGGGUUAAAUAUGUCAUUUUGGAGCUUACUAUGCUUAUUAAGCCAUUUUGGGGUUGGCUAAGCUAAUUAUAGGGCAUUUAAUAGCUAAGUUAGGGGCAAUAGAUCAUCUUGGAGCUAUGUAAGCCUUAUUUUAUCAUUUUGGAGAGAACUUAGCUAAGUAUAAGUCAUUUUUUUAUUAAAUAGGCAAUUUUGAAGCUAGCUAAACUAAUUAUGUCAUUUAGUUGGAAGGCUAACUAACUAUAGGUCAUUCUUGAGCCAACUUGGGUAAAAUAGGUCAUUUUGGAGCUAACUAUGCUUAUUAAGCCAUUUUGGAGCUAGCUAAGCUAAUUAUAGGCCAUUUAAUAGCUAACUUAAGGGGAAUAGGUCAUCUUGAAGCUACGUAAGCCUUAUUAUGUCAUUUCGGAAAGCACUUAGCUAAGUAUAAGUCAUUUUUUAUUAACUAGGCCAUUUUGGAGAUAACUAAGCAGAUUAUGUCAUUUAGGACGAAACGAAGCUAAGUAUAUGUCAUUUUGGCGCUACUUAGGUAAAAAUAGGUAAUUUUUAUCUAAAUAUGAUUAUUAAGCCAUUUUGGAGCUAUCUAAGCUAAUUAUAGGCCAUUUAUUAGCUAAGUUAGGGGGAAUAUGUCAUCUUGGAGCUACGUAAGCAUAUUAUGUCAUUUAGAAGAGAACUUAGCUAAAUAUAGGUCAUUUUGUUUAUUAAAUAGGCCAUUUUGGAGCUAACUAAGCUAAUUAUGUCAUUUACGUGGAAGCUAAGCUAACUAUAGGUCAUUCUAGAGCUAACUUGGGUUAAAUAUGUCAUUUUGGACAUAAUUAUGCUUAUUAAGCCAUUUUGGAUCUAGCUAAGCUAAUUAUAGGCCAUUUAAUAGCUAAGUUAGGGGGAAUAGGCCAUAUUGGAGCUACGUAAGCAUAUUAUGUCAUUUAGGAGAGAACGUAGCUAAGUAUAGGUCAUUUUUUUAUUAAAUAGGCCAUUUUGAAGAUAACUAAGCUAAUUAUACCAUUUAGAUGGAAGCCAAGCUGACUAUAGGUCAUUCUAGAGCUAACUUGGGUUAAAUAUGUCAUUUUGGAGCCAACUAUGCUUAUUAAGCCAUUUUGGCCAUUUAAUAGCUAAGUUAGGGGGGAUAGGUUAUCUUGGAGCUACGNNNNNNNNNNCAGCCUAAUUAUGUCAUUUAGGAGAGAACUUAUCUAAGUAUAGAUCAUUUUUAUUAAAUAUGCAAUUUUGGAGCUAACUAAGCUAAUUAUGUUAUUUAGGUGGAAGCCUAGCUAACUAUAGGUCAUUUCGGUUCUAACUUUGGUAAAAUAGGUCAUUUUUGAGCUAACUAUGCUUAUUAAGACAUUUUGGAGCUAGUUAAGCUAAUUCUAUGCCAUUUAAUAGCUAAGUUAGGGGAGUAUGUCAUCUUGGAGAUACCUAAGCAUAUUAUGUCAUAUAGGAGAGAACUUAGCUAAGUAUAGGUCAUUUUUAUUAAAUAUGCCAUUUUGGAGCUAACUAAGGUAAUUAUGUCAUUUAGGUGGAAGCCAAGCUAACUAUAGGUCUUUCUCGAGCUAACUUGGGUUAAAUAUGUCAUUUUGGAGCUAACUAUGCUUAUUAAGCCAUUUUGGAGCUAGCUAAGCUAAUUAUAGGCCAUUUUAUAGCUAAGUUAGGGGGAAUAGGUCAUCUUGGAGCUACGUAAGCAUAUUAUUUCAUUUAGGAGAGAACUUGCCUAAGUAUAGGUCUUUUUUUAUUAAAUAGGACAUUUUGGAGCUAACUAAGCUAAUUAUGUCAUUUGGGACGAAACGAAGCUAAGUAUAUGUCAUUUUGGAGCUACUUAGGUACAAAUGGGUCAUUUUUGAGCUAACUAUGCUUAUUAAGACAUUUAGGAGCUAGUUAAGCUAAUUAUAGGCCAUUUAAUAGCUAAGUUAGGGGGAGUAUGUUAUCAUGGAGCUAUGUAAGCCUUAUUUUGUCACUUAGAGAGAACUUAGCUAAGUAUAUAUCAUUUUUUAUUAAAUAGGCAUUUUGGAGCUAACUAAGCUAAUUAUGUCAUUUAGGACGAAAGGAAGCUAAGUAUAUGUCAUUUUGUAGCUACUUAGGUAAAAAUGGGUCAUUUUUUAGCUAACUAUGCUUAUUAAGACAUUUUGGAGCUAGUUAAGCUAAUUAUAGGCCAUUUAAUAGCUAAGUUAGGGGAGUAUGUCAUCCUCGAGCUACGUAAGCAUAUUAUGUCAUUUAGGAGAGAACUUAGCUAAGUAUAGGUUAUUUUUUAUUAAAUAUGCCAUUUUGGAGCUAACUUAGCUAAUUAUGUCAUUUAGGUGGAAGCCAAGCUAAUUAUAGGUCAUUCUAUAGCUAACUUGGAUUAAAUAUGUCAUUUUGGAGCUAACUAUGCUUAUUAACCCAUUUUGGAGUUAGCUAAGCUAAUUAUAGGCCAUUUAAUAGCUAAGUUAGGAGAAUGGGUCAUCUUCGAGCUAUGUAAGCCAUAUUAUGUCAUUUAGGAGAGAACUUAGCUAAGUAUAGGUGAUUUUUAUUAAAUAGGCAAUUUUGGAGCUAACUAAGCUAAUUAUUUCAUUUAUGUGGAAGCCUUGCUAACUAUAGGUCAUUUCGCACAUAACUUGGGUAAAAUAGGUCAUUUUGGAGCUAACUCUGCUUAUUAAGCCAUUUUGGAGCUAGCUAAGCUAAUUAUAGGCCAUUUAAUAGCUAAGUUAGGGGGAAUAGGUCCUCUCGGAGCUACGUAAGCAUAUUAUGUCAUUUAGGUGGGAGUCAAGCUAACCAUAGGUCAUUCUAGAGAUAACUUGGGUUAAAUAUGUCAUUUCGGAGAUAACUAUGCUUACUAAUCCAUUUUGGAUCUAGCUAAGCUAAUUAUAGGGCAUUUAAUAGCUAAAUUAGGAGGAAUAGGUCAUCUUGGAGCUACGUAAACAUAUUAUGUCAUUN